rnacentral:rRNA from 1 species
UGGCCGCGGGAUUCGAUUAAGCCAUGCGAGUCAUAUGUUCUUCGUGAACAUGGCGUACUGCUCAGUAACACGUGGAUAACCUGCCCUUGGGACCGGGAUAACCCCGGGAAACUGGGGAUAAUACCGGAUAACGCAUAUCUGCUGGAAUGCUUUAUGCGUAAAAUGGAUUUGUCUGCCCAAGGAUGGGUCUGCGGCCUAUCAGGUAGUAGUGGGUGUAAUGUACCUACUAGCCUACGACGGGUACGGGUUGUGAGAGCAAGAGCCCGGAGAUGGAUUCUGAGACAUGAAUCCAGGCCCUACGGGGCGCAGCAGGCGCGAAAACUUUACAAUGCGGGAAACCGUGAUAAGGGGACACCGAGUGCCAGCAUCAUAUGUUGGCUGUCCAGAUGUGUAAAAUACAUCUGUUAGCAAGGGCCGGGCAAGACCGGUGCCAGCCGCCGCGGUAACACCGGCGGCCCGAGUGGUGAUCGUGAUUAUUGGGUCUAAAGGGUCCGUAGCCGGUUUGGUCAGUCCUCCGGGAAAUCUGACGGCUCAACCGUUAGGCUUUCGGUGGAUACUGCCAGACUUGGAACCGGGAGAGGUAAGAGGUACUACAGGGGUAGGAGUGAAAUCUUGUAAUCCCUGUGAGACCACCUGUGGCGAAGGCGUCUUACCAGAACGGGUUCGACGGUGAGGGACGAAAGCUGGGGGCACGAACCGGAUUAGAUACCCGGGUAGUCCCAGCCGUAAACGAUGCUCGCUAGGUGUCAGGCAUGGCGCGACCGUGUCUGGUGCCGCAGGGAAGCCGUGAAGCGAGCCACCUGGGAAGUACGGCCGCAAGGCUGAAACUUAAAGGAAUUGGCGGGGGAGCAAAUCACUAGUGCGGCCGCCUGCAGGUCGAC